AGCAUUCUGGGUGCCCCAAGUGUUUCCCAGGUGGUAAAUAUAAAGUUAUUGGGCAUUCACGGUAUCCUAGUUGACUCCCCCAGCUGCAGUUCUAGCCUUCUCUUUCUCUUCGACAUGAAAAUUCUCUGAUUUCUCAUCUCUUCAGGAAAAAAACUAUCAGGGGUUUUAGAGAAAUUGGUUCCGUAGAAGGCCGGAAAGAUGUUUAAUUUAGAAAAUGAAUCAGGAGUUAAUUACUGGUUUCAAUGGCAAGUUCCAGUAUGUGCAUUAAUCAUCAUAAUUCCACCAAUUAUAUCUCUAGUGUUGAUUUAUAAAUCAAAAAAAUCACCUUUAAAUGUUUAUGAUCUAUGGGUUCCUUGUUGGAGAAAUCUUAAUCCUAUAUGGAUGUUGAUCUAUAGAGCUUCCGUGGUUUUUAUCAUGUCCUGUUUCUUAUCUGUGGUUAUCAACAUACAUGGAGCUUUUGCCUUCUACUUCUACACUCAGUGGACUUUCGCGUUAGUGAUUUUAUAUUUUGUGUUGGGAACCAUUUUCUCCGCUCAGGGAUGUUGGGUGUAUUUGAAGACAUCUAAGGUCGAAAAUGAGGAAGGCAGUGAGUUUUUGAAAAGGGAAGGGGAUGAGAACGAAUCUAAUGUGAAGGCGAGUUCAGGGUUAAACAAGGGUGUUAACAAAUUGAUGAAAAUUCAUCAUGAUUGUAUAGGGGGCAAGCAGAAUGCUGGAUUUGGGGGUUAUUUGAUGCUAACUGUAUACCAGACUAGUGCUGGUGCUGUGCUGCUGACAGACAUUGUCUUUUGGUGCAUUCUCGUACCAUUUCUCACAGCUGAUACCUUCAGAGUGACCCCGUACAUGGCUUGCAUGCAUUCUCUAAAUUUCGUGUUUCUUCUACUCGACACCUCUCUAAACAAACUCCCAUUCUAUUCAUUUGGACUGGUUUAUUUUUUGAUCUGGAGCGGUGCGUACACAGUUUUUCAAUGGAUUCUUCAUGCUUGUGGUUUUACAUGGUAAGCUUGUAAAUCUCUCCCUAAACAAGUUUCCACAAAUACUCACAAGUCAGAAGCUCAAGAAGGUGUUGUUGUUCUCUCCUCUUGUCUUUGGUUGCCUCGUUAUAGGUGGCCAUAUCCUUUCCUCGAGCUCUCAACUCCGUGGGCACCUCUUUGGUAUUUCGCGCUGACUCUAGUCCAUAUCCCUUGUUACAGUAUCUACAGUUUGCUUGUGAACGCAAAACUCUCGAUUUUCCCAAAGAUGUUCCCCCAUUCUUAUUUGGGAUCAUCACAGGGCUUAGUUUAACAUAUUAUGUAUAACCACUCACUAUCAAGGGAUUGAUAUCUUUAUAUCUUUAGGCACAAUAGAACUCCAUCAUGAAACUUCUUCAUCAUAUACAAGGGUCCAGGGAUGAGAAUUCAAGUUGAAAAUAAAUUUUCUGUUGGACCAGCCACUAAUAUAUAAUGGCUAAAUUUAUUUGCAAGUUCUAAGUAGAAAUGUAAUGUAACACCUUUAAAUUCUGGUAAGUUACGUUUCUAAA